GAUGAACGCUGGCGGCGUGCCAAUACAUGCAAGUCGAGCGAACAGAUCAGGAGCUUGCUCCUUUGACGUUAGCGGCGGACGGGUGAGUAACACGUGGGUAACCUACCUAUAAGACUGGGAUAACUUCGGGAAACCGGAGCUAAUACCGGAUAACAUUUGGAACCGCAUGGUUCUAAAGUGAAAGAUGGUUUUGCUAUCACUUAUAGAUGGACCCGCGCCGUAUUAGCUAGUUGGUAAGGUAACGGCUUACCAAGGCAACGAUACGUAGCCGACCUGAGAGGGUGAUCGGCCACACUGGAACUGAGACACGGUCCAGACUCCUACGGGAGGCAGCAGUAGGGAAUCUUCCGCAAUGGGCGAAAGCCUGACGGAGCAACGCCGCGUGAGUGAUGAAGGGUUUCGGCUCGUAAAACUCUGUUAUUAGGGAAGAACAAAUGUGUAAGUAACUGUGCACGUCUUGACGGUACCUAAUCAGAAAGCCACGGCUAACUACGUG
rnacentral:rRNA from 1 species